CGGGGUGUAGCUUAGCCUGGUAGAGCGCCUGGUUUGGGACCAGGAGGUCGAGAGUUCGAAUCUCUCCGCCCCGACCA
rnacentral:tRNA from 1 species